rnacentral:snRNA from 1 species
UUGCUUUGGCAGCACAUAUAUUAAAAUUGGAAUGAUACAGAGAAAAUUAGCAUGGUCCCUGCACAAGGAUGACAUGCAAAUUUGUGAAGCAUUCCAUAUUUUC